rnacentral:rRNA from 1 species
AUUGAACGCUGGCGGCAUGCUUUACACAUGCAAGUCGAACGGUAACAGGUCUUCGGAUGCUGACGAGUGGCGAACGGGUGAGUAAUGCAUCGGAACGUGCCCAGUCGUGGGGGAUAACGCAGCGAAAGCUGCGCUAAUACCGCAUACGAUCUAUGGAUGAAAGCGGGGGACCGUAAGGCCUCGCGCGAUUGGAGCGGCCGAUGUCAGAUUAGGUAGUUGGUGGGGUAAAGGCUCACCAAGCCAACGAUCUGUAGCUGGUCUGAGAGGACGACCAGCCACACUGGGACUGAGACACGGCCCAGACUCCUACGGGAGGCAGCAGUGGGGAAUUUUGGACAAUGGGCGCAAGCCUGAUCCAGCAAUGCCGCGUGCAGGAAGAAGGCC